GACGAACGCUGGCGGCGUGCUUAACACAUGCAAGUCGAACGGAAAGGCCCUGCUUUUGUGGGGUGCUCGAGUGGCGAACGGGUGAGUAACACGUGAGUAACCUGCCCUUGACUUUGGGAUAACUUCAGGAAACUGGGGCUAAUACCGGAUAGGAGCUCCUGCUGCAUGGUGGGGGUGGGAAAGUUUCGGCGGUUGGGGAUGGACUCGCGGCUUAUCAGCUUGUUGGUGGGGUAGUGGCUUACCAAGGCUUUGACGGGUAGCCGGCCUGAGAGGGUGACCGGCCACAUUGCGACUGAGAUACGGCCCAGACUCCUACGGGAGGCAGCAGUGGGGAAUAUUGCACAGUGGGCGGAAGCCUGAUGCAGCAACGCCGCGUGCGGGAUGACGUCCUUCGGGUUGUAAACCGCUUUCGCCUGUGACGAAGCGUGAGUGACGGUAAUGGGUAAAGAAGCACCGGCUAACUACGUG
rnacentral:rRNA from 1 species